AUUGAACGCUGGCGGCAGGCCUAACACAUGCAAGUCGGACGGUAGCACAGAGGAGCUUGCUCCUUGGGUGACGAGUGGCGGACGGGUGAGUAAUGUCUGGGGAUCUGCCCGAUAGAGGGGGAUAACCACUGGAAACGGUGGCUAAUACCGCAUAACGUCGCAAGACCAAAGAGGGGGACCUUCGGGCCUCUCACUAUCGGAUGAACCCAGAUGGGAUUAGCUAGUAGGCGGGGUAAUGGCCCACCUAGGCGACGAUCCCUAGCUGGUCUGAGAGGAUGACCAGCCACACUGGAACUGAGACACGGUCCAGACUCCUACGGGAGGCAGCAGUGGGGAAUAUUGCACAAUGGGCGCAAGCCUGAUGCAGCCAUGCCGCGUGUAUGAAGAAGGCCUUCGGGUUGUAAAGUACUUUCAGCGGGGAGGAAGGCGAUAAGGUUAAUAACGUUGUCGAUUGACGCCCACCCGCCGAAGAAGCACCGGCUAACUCCGUGCCAGCAGCCGCGGUAAUACGGAGGGUGCAAGCGUUAAUCGGAAUUACUGGGCGUAAAGCGCACGCAGGCGGUCUGUUAAGUCAGAUGUGAAAUCCCCGGGCUUAAACCUGGGAACUGCAUUUGAAACUGGCAGGCUUGAGUCUCGUAGAGGGGGGUAGAAUUCCCAGGUGUAGCGGUGAAAUGCGUAAAGAUCUGGAAGGAAUACCGGUGGCGAAGGCGCCCCCCUGGACGAGGACUGACUCUCAAGUUGCGAAAGCG
rnacentral:rRNA from 1 species